GCCGGGCCGAGCGCUGCGUGGCUCCUAUAGUGCGUUCAGGUGAAGCCGAUCCUGACGUCAGCAGAUAUCUCAACAGGUUGAGUGAUUACCUGUUCACACUGGCCAGAUACACAGCCAUGAAAGAAGGAAACACUGAGAGGAUCUACAGGAGACCUGAAUGAACCUCCACUUUAUUUAAUAAAAUCAUAAAAUUCA